UACGAAGGGGGCUAGCGUUGCUCGGAAUCACUGGGCGUAAAGGGUGCGUAGGCGGGGCUUUAAGGCAGGGGUGAAAUCCUGGAGCUCAACUCCAGAACUGCCUUUGAUACUGAGGAUCUUGAGUUCGGGAGAGGUGAGUGGAACUGCGAGUGUAGAGGUGUAAUUCGUAGAUAUUCGCAAGAACACCAGUGGCGAAGGCGGCUCACUGGCCCGAUACUGACGCUGAGGCACGAAAGCGUGGGGAGCAAACAGG
rnacentral:rRNA from 1 species